rnacentral:rRNA from 1 species
GCUUCUUCUCCGGCAGGAGCGCAGAAAUCCGGAGCAGUUACGAGGCAGUUAAUGUCCCGGUAACUAGAGGUUGUCCGCAGGGGUCAAUCAGCGGCCCAUUUAUUUGGGACCUGCUGAUGGAUGUACUGCUACGACGCCUUGAGUCGUACUGCACACUGAGUGCGUACGCGGAUGAUCUGCUGCUUCUCGUCGAGGAACACUCCCGGCUCUCGCUAGAGACAAAAGGAGCGCAACUAAUGUCUAUCGUUGAAACGUGGGGGAUGGAAGCCGGCGUUGCUUUUUCCACUAGCAAGACGGUUAUUAUGCUGCUAAAGAAACCAAGAAGGCUACUCGUGCGUGGUCCGAAUGGAAUGCUUCGACGCGCACCUGCGGUAAAAUUUGCUGGAGCAAACUUACCGUACGUUAGCAGCUGCCGGUACCUUAGCAUCACAGUCAGCGAAGGCUUGAAAUUCUUCGAGCAUGUCAGAAAUCUCCGACAGCGUUUGGCUGGAGUCGUUGCAGCAUUGGCGCGUGUGCUUCAAGCAGUCUGGGGCCUCAGUCCUCGAGCCAGGCGGACCAUUUAUGCCGGAGUCAUGGUGCCCUGUGCACUGUUUGGUGCCUCGGUAUGGUAUGUCACUACGACGCGGCAAGAAGUAGCCAGAGAGCACCUCAUUGCCUGCCAGAGGCUUAUCCUUCUUGGAUGCCUUCCGGUAUGCCGAACAGUGUCCACUGUGGCACUGCAGGUUCUUGCUGGCGUUCCCCCGUUUGAUUUGGCAGCCAUGCAAAUGGCAGUUAAAUACAAGCAUACGCGUGGAUACCCGCUGGAGAUAUACGAUCUGCUGUAUAGCGAAGAUCUCACUGGUCUAAACUGGGAAGAGAAGAUGGUGCGUAUGGAGCAGUGCUUACUGCACAGAUGGCAAGACAGAUGGGAUGACGUAGAUGCAUCCGGACGGGUGACCUACAAGUUUAUUUCAGAUGUGACUUUGCAUUUCGGAAUCCACACUUUGGAUUCCCGAUGCGCACCGGAUUUUUAAUCACAGGACACGGAUCGUUGAACGCAUUUCCGCAUAGCAGAGUGCUCUCGGACUCUGCCGCAUGCUCAUGUGACGAUCCAUUUGAGGAUUGGCAGCACGUCUUGAGUGACUGCCCUCUCUAUGCAGAUUUGCGCGACCUUAAUGGACUUGGAGUGCGAAAAACCGAACGUUUGGAAGGAUUCUGGAGGAUGAGGACAGGACUCGACGACUCAAUGCGUUUGCUGAGGAGGCGUUCCGCAGGAGGAGGGACUUUUAGUCCAUUUACUCUUGCCGUGUGGCUAGCGGCGAAGAAUACUACCACAGCUUGUCAUAGCUUGUCGUAGGAGGCGACUAAUAUGACAUGGGUGCCUUAUCCGAGCUUGUCAGAGCUUAAGGGGUGAGGCCUACCGAGCCUGUAAUUUCGGUACCUCGGGUAGAGCAGUUGUCCAAGGCUGCUCAUUGAAGUCGGCUCCCUUGUGGGAGUAUCGUGGUGGCUGUGGUUGACACCUGUAUGCGGGUAGAGCCUUCGGGUGCGACGAGGACUUGCGUCAUACAACUCGGGUACUGUGACCCAAAGAUCAGCAGGGAUUAAGAUAAAUUCAGUGGGGGGAAUGCUUGCCCGACAAGUACGCAUUCGAAUUGCUACCUGGGUGGUUGCUAUGUACAUAGCUAUAGCUUCUAGUCCGGGGCGUUGGUCUGGCGCUUAACCUAGACACAUUGCACUAUACACUCACUUGUGGGUGUAUAAGAGUGCCGUGGUUGUAAUCCCUUCCCUACGUUAAAUAUGCUUCGGAGGGAUUCGAUAGACACCUGUCCCUAUCUACUAUCUAGCGAAACCACAGCCAAGGAAACGGGGUUGGAAUAAUUAGCUGGGAAAGAAGACCCUUUUGAGCUUGACUCUAAUCUGGCAGUGUAGGGAGACAUAAGUGGUGUAGAAUAAGUGGGAGAUAUUAGACUUCCGUUUGGUAUCGUCAAUGAAAUACCACUACUCUUAUUGUUUCCUUACUUACUUGAUUAAAUGGAACGUGUAUAAUUUCCUAGCCAUUAUACGGAUAUAUUUAUUAUAUCUUAUGGUAUUGGGUUUUGAUGCAAGCUUCUUGAUCAAAGUAUCACGAGUUUGUUAUAUAAUCGCAAACAAAUUCUUUAAUAAAACGGUGCAUUUAUGUAUUUUUGAUUUGACAAUUUGGUAUAACUCCAAUUACUCAGGUAUGAUCCAAUUCAAGGACACUGCCAGGUAGGGAGUUUGACUGGGGCGGUACAUCUCUCAAAUAAUAACGGAGGUGUCCCAAGGUCAGCUCAGUGCGGACAGAAACCACACAUAGAGCAAAAGGGCAAAUGCUGACUUGAUCUCGGUGUUCAGUACACACAGGGACAGCAAAAGCUCGGCCUAUUGAUCCUUUUGGUUUAAAGAGUUUUUAACAAGAGGUGUCAGAAAAGUUACCAUAGGGAUAACUUGCUUGUGGCGGCCAAGCGCUCAUAGCGACGUCGCUUUUUGAUCCUUCGAUGUCGGGUCUUCCUAUCAUUGUGAAGCAAAAUUCACCAAGCGUUGGAUUGUUCACCCAUGCAAGGGAACGUGAGCUGGGUUUAGACCUUCGUGAGACAGGUUAGUUUUACCCUACUAAUGGCAAAACGUUGUUGCGACAGCAUUUCUGCGUAAUGCGAGAGGAACCGCAGGUACUGGCCAAUGGCACAAUACUUGUUCGAGCGAACAGUGGUAUGACGCUGCGUCCGUUGGAUUAUGCCUGAACGCCUCUAAGGUCGUAUCCGUGCUGGACUGCAAUGAUAAAUAAGGGGAAAUUUGCAUUGUAUGGCUUCUAAACCAUUUAGGGCCGUUUUCUCGUCCGUACUUUAGUUUGCCUGCCGGGACAACGGAGCGAUAAACAAAAAAUGGUUUACUCGUCCUUAUGUUAGCGCAGGUAGGGACAAAUUUUGUCUCGGUACUUCAUCCAACGUGCAAAAUUUGUGCGGUUGGAUUGUGC